rnacentral:rRNA from 1 species
UACGUAGGGUGCGAGCGUUGUCCGGAAUUACUGGGCGUAAAGAGCUCGUAGGUGGUUUGUCGCGUUGUUCGUGAAAACCGGGGGCUUAACCCUCGGCGUGCGGGCGAUACGGGCAGACUGGAGUACUGCAGGGGAGACUGGAAUUCCUGGUGUAGCGGUGGAAUGCGCAGAUAUCAGGAGGAACACCGGUGGCGAAGGCGGGUCUCUGGGAAGUAACUGACGCUGAGAAGCGAAAGCAUGGGUAGCAAACAGG